AGGGAAUAUUGCAAAAUGGGCGAAAGCCCGAUGCAGCAACGCCGCGUGGGCGAUGAAGGCCUUCGGGUCGUAAAGCCCUUUUUGAGGGGGAUGAGGAAGGACAGUACCCUCAGAAUAAGCCUCGGCUAACUACGUGCCAGCAGCCGCGGUAAAACGUAGGAGGCGAGCGUUAUCCGGAUUUACUGGGCGUAAAGCGCGUGCAGGCGGAUUGGAGAGUUGGAUGUGAAAGCUCCCGGCUUAACUGGGAGAGGUCGUUCAAUACUUCCAGUCUUGAGUGCAGUAGAGGGAAGUGGAAUUCCGGGUGUAGUGGUGAAAUGCGUAGAUAUCCGGAGGAACACCAGUGGCGAAAGCGGCUUCCUGGACUGUAACUGACGCUCAGACGCGAAAGCUAGGGUAGCAAACG
rnacentral:rRNA from 1 species